GAUGAACGCUGGCGGUAUGCUUAACACAUGCAAGUCGAACGGAAUCUUCGGAUUUAGUGGCGGACGGGUGAGUAACGCGUGAGAAUCUGGCUUCAGGUCUGGGACAACCACUGGAAACGGUGGCUAAUACCGGAUGUGCCGAGAGGUGAAAGGUUAACUGCCUGAAGAUGAGCUCGCGUCUGAUUAGCUAGUUGGUAGAGUAAGAGCCUACCAAGGCGACGAUCAGUAGCUGGUCUGAGAGGACGAUCAGCCACACUGGGACUGAGACACGGCCCAGACUCCUACGGGAGGCAGCAGUGGGGAAUUUUCCGCAAUGGGCGAAAGCCUGACGGAGCAAUACCGCGUGAGGGAGGAAGGCUCUUGGGUCGUAAACCUCUUUUCUCAGGGAAGAACACAAUGACGGUACCUGAGGAAUAAGCAUCGGCUAACUCCGUGCCAGCAGCCGCGGUAAUACGGAGGAUGCAAGCGUUAUCCGGAAUGAUUGGGCGUAAAGCGUCCGCAGGUGGCAAUGUAAGUCUGCUGUUAAAGAGUCUAGCUCAACUAGAUAAGAGCAGUGGAAACUACAUAGCUAGAGUACGUUCGGGGCAGAGGGAAUUCCUGGUGUAGCGGUGAAAUGCGUAGAGAUCAGGAAGAACACCGGUGGCGAAGGCGCUCUGCUAGGCCGUAACUGACACUGAGGGACGAAAGCUAGGGGAGCGAAUGGGAUUAGAUACCCCAGUAGUCCUAGCCGUAAACGAUGGAUACUAGGCGUGGCUUGUAUCGACCCGAGCCGUGCCGUAGCUAACGCGUUAAGUAUCCCGCCUGGGGAGUACGCCGGCAACGGUGAAACUCAAAGGAAUUGACGGGGGCCCGCACAAGCGGUGGAGUAUGUGGUUUAAUUCGAUGCAACGCGAAGAACCUUACCAAGGCUUGACAUGUCGCGAAUCUUGAUGAAAGUUGAGAGUGCCUUCGGGAGCGCGAACACAGGUGGUGCAUGGCUGUCGUCAGCUCGUGUCGUGAGAUGUUGGGUUAAGUCCCGCAACGAGCGCAACCCUCGUUUUUAGUUGCCAGCAUUAAGUUGGGCACUCUAGAGAGACUGCCGGUGACAAACCGGAGGAAGGUGGGGAUGACGUCAAGUCAGCAUGCCCCUUACGCCUUGGGCUACACACGUACUACAAUGCUCCGGACAGAGGGCAGCAAGCAUGCGAAUGCAAGCAAAUCCCGGAAACCGGAGCUCAGUUCAGAUCGCAGGCUGCAACUCGCCUGCGUGAAGGAGGAAUCGCUAGUAAUUGCAGGUCAGCAUACUGCAGUGAAUUCGUUCCCGGGCCUUGUACACACCGCCCGUCACACCAUGGAAGCUGGUAGUGCCCGAAGUCAUUACUCCAACCAUUCGUGGAGGAGGAUGCCUAAGGCAGGACUGGUGACUGGGGUGAAGUCGUAACAAGGUAGCCGUACCGGAAGGUGUGGCUGGAUCACCUCCUUUUUAGGGA
rnacentral:rRNA from 2 species